AACAUGUCAAAUUUAAUUUUAAAUUAGUUUUUAGUACCAUCUAACUAAUAUAUUUAAGGAGGUGCUUUUCUAAAAAAUGGUUCCAACGAUAAUGCCAAAAAAGACCCUAUGACCUGAAGAUGGGUAAUCAACUAUGUGUACCCCAUUUGUAGGGCAUAUCAAUUGACAAAUCACCAUACACCUUGAAAAAAUAUAAAAAUUAAAAUAGAAAUAAAAAUGA
rnacentral:misc_RNA from 1 species